rnacentral:rRNA from 1 species
CCUACGGGAGGCAGCAGUGGGGAAUAUUGCGCAAUGGGCGAAAGCCUGACGCAGCGACGCCGCGUGAGGGAUGAAGGUUUUCGGAUCGUAAACCUCUGUCAGAAGGGAAGAAACUACAUUGUGCUAAUCAGCAGUGUACUGACGGUACCUUCAAAGGAAGCACCGGCUAACUCCGUGCCAGCAGCCGCGGUAAU